GAUAAACGCUGACAGAAUGCUUAACACAUGCAAGUCGAUGAUGGGAGCUAGCUUGCUAGAAGAAGUCAUGGCGGACGGGUGAGUAACGUGUAAAGAACUUACCAUAUAGACUGGGAUAACAGAGGGAAACUUCUGAUAAUACUGGCUAAGUUAGUAGUAGCAUUACUAAGUAAUGAAAGGUAGCAAUACGCUAUAUGAGAGCUUUGCAUCCUAUUAGCUAGUUGGUGGGGUAAAAGCCUACCAAGGCGAUGAUAGGUAGCCGGCCUGAGAGGGUGGACAGCCACAAGGGGACUGAGAUACGGCCCCGACUCCUACGGGAGGCAGCAGUGGGGAAUAUUGGACAAGGGAGGCAACUCUGAUCCAGCAAUUCUGUGUGUGUGAAGAAGGUUUUAGGACUGUAAAACACUUUUAGUAGGGAAGAAAGAAAUGACGGUACCUACAGAAGAAGCGACGGCUAAAUACGUG
rnacentral:rRNA from 1 species